GAACCCUACAGCAAUUACACUUGGUUAAAGUUAGUUUCAAGGUCUCACAAUUGUUUGCAGAACAGGACUGCAGGGAAGCAGAUAUCGUGCUGAAGGGUUUGUGACCACUUCUGGUCUCUGAGUAAUUCACCUAGGUAAUUCCAUCAGGAGAAAGCCAGAUCUAGAAUUGGGCACCUUCUAAAGGGCACUCUGGGAAGGAGAGCAAUGCUGCCAAAAAAGGAACUAAAAGAUAAACAGAAACAGCACAACUGAAAGAAAGAGAAAAAAGAAAGGCAGACAGAAGUCGAUCAGCCUUGGGUUCAUGACUGGGGCACAAAUGUUGCUACUCAGCUGCCUUCUCUACAAGACUCUCCAAGGAUUGUCAUAAUUUACCACAUAUUAAAAUACUAAUCUAAAUCACCAACAUAAUUUUAUUUUGUAGAACAUAAUUUUCAACUUAAUUUUGUUUUGUUUUUGGAAGGAACGCAGUUACACUGCUGACUUCCAGCUUUGUUCUAUAAACGCUGAACUCUUGGGUAGUUAAAGAGAUUCUAUUCAGAUGACCAGAGACAAGAUGACCGAUUUUCAGAUUAAAAAUAUUAUUAACGAAUUAUACUUUCAAAAUUCUGAUGACAUAAAGUUAGCAAAGCAAUUUUUAAAGAAUUUUCAUUGUAACUGUCCUAUGAAUUUAUCCAGGUAACAAAUAAUACUUGAGCAAACUUGAAGGAAUUGUGGAGAUAGAAAUAUUAUCAUUACUGUUUUCACUCAACUAUAAACUG